rnacentral:rRNA from 1 species
GAUGAACGCUGGCGGCGUGCCUAAUACAUGCAAGUCGAGCGAACAGACGAGGAGCUUGCUCCUCUGACGUUAUCGGCGGACGGGUGAGUAACACGUGGAUAACCUACCUAUAAGACUGGGAUAACUUCGGGAAAUCGUAUCUAAUACCGGAUAAUAUAUUGAACCUCAUUGUUCAAUAGUUAAAGUCGGUUUUGCUGUCACUUAUAGAUUGAUCCGCGCCGCAUUAGCUAGUUGGUUAGGUAACGGCUUACCAAGGCAACGAUGCGUAGCCGACCUGAGAGGGUGAUCGGACAGACUGGAACUGAGACACGGUCGAGACUCCUAGGGGAGGCAGCAGUAGGGAAUCUUCCGCAAUGGGCGAAAGCCUGACGGAGCAACGCCGCGUGAGUGAUGAAGGUCUUCGGAUCGUAAAACUCUGUUAUUAGGGAAGAACAAAUGUGUAAGUAACUAUGCACGUAUUGACGGUACCUAAUCAGAAAGCCACGGCUAACUACGUG